rnacentral:rRNA from 1 species
UAAGACAGAGGGGGCAAGCGUUGUCCGGACUGACUGGGCGUAAAGCGCACGCAGGUGGUGCGCCAAGUGGUGUGUGAAAGCGACCGGCUCAACUGGUCGAGGCCAUGCCAAACUGGCGGACUAGAGCGAUGCAGAGGUCGCUGGAAUUGCCGGUGUAGUGGUGAAAUGCGUAGAGAUCGGCAGGAACACCCAGGGCGGAAGCAGGCGACUGGGCAUUGGCUGACACUGAGGUGCGAAAGCGUGGGGAGCGAACUGGAUUAGAUACCCAGGUAGUCCACGCACUAAACGAUGGACGCUCGGCAUUUGGGGGUUUAACGCCCCUGGGUGCCCUAGGUAACCCGUGAAGCGUCCCGCCUGGGAACUACGAGCGCAAGCUUA